rnacentral:rRNA from 1 species
UGGGGAAUAUUGGACAAUGGGCGCAAGCCUGAUCCAGCCAUGCCGCGUGAGUGAUGAAGGCCCUAGGGUUGUAAAGCUCUUUCACCGGUGAAGAUAAUGACGGUAACCGGAGAAGAAGCCCCGGCUAACUUCGUGCCAGCAGCCGCGGUAAUACGAAGGGGGCUAGCGUUGUUCGGAUUUACUGGGCGUAAAGCGCACGUAGGCGGACUAUUAAGUCAGGGGUGAAAUCCCGGGGCUCAACCCCGGAACUGCCUUUGAUACUGGUAGUCUUGAGUUCGAGAGAGGUGAGUGGAAUUCCGAGUGUAGAAGUGAAAUGCGUAGAUAUUCGGAGGAACACCAGUGGCGAAGGCGGCUCACUGGCUCGAUACUGACGCUGAGGUGCGAAAGCGUGGGGAGCAAACAGG